GCCGAGGUAGCUAAGUCCGGAUCACGGCGCCAGCCUUGAGAGCUGGUGGUGCCCUGCACCCCGGGAGUUCGAAUCUCCCCCUCGGCGC
rnacentral:tRNA from 1 species